AAGGAUUUAAGUUAAAUUAAACUCACAGCCUUCAAAGCUGUAAAUAAAGGACCCCCCCCUUUAAACCUUA
rnacentral:tRNA from 1 species